AGUGAACGCUGGCGGUAGGCCUAACACAUGCAAGUCGAACGGCAGCACAGGAGAGCUUGCUCUCUGGGUGGCGAGUGGCGGACGGGUGAGGAAUACAUCGGAAUCUACUCUGUCGUGGGGGAUAACGUAGGGAAACUUACGCUAAUACCGCAUACGACCUACGGGUGAAAGCAGGGGACCUUCGGGCCUUGCGCGAUUGAAUGAGCCGAUGUCGGAUUAGCUAGUUGGCGGGGUAAAGGCCCACCAAGGCGGCGAUCCGUAGCUGGUCUGAGAGGAUGAUCAGCCACACUGGAACUGAGACACGGUCCAGACUCCUACGGGAGGCAGCAGUGGGGAAUAUUGGACAAUGGGCGCAAGCCUGAUCCAGCCAUACCGCGUGGGUGAAGAAGGCCUUCGGGUUGUAAAGCCCUUUUGCUGGGAAAGAAAUCCAGCUGGCUAAUACCCGGUUGGGAUGACGGUACCCAAAGAAUAAGCACCGGCUAACUUCGUGCCAGCCGCCGCAGUAA
rnacentral:rRNA from 1 species